CCGACAUCACCUUCAUUUCUCUGCAAUACUUGAAGAAACCAUAACAUACCCACUCAAUAUCACCAUCUACUUCAUUUUCUUCUCUAAGUCUGGUCAUCAGACUUGCUUCCCGGUAACCCCCCCCUCUAUUAUCGGCCGGCCACCACCAUUUUUGGUGGUGGCGGACUACAACAGCAACAACACCACCACCACAGGCGGCGGCGCUGUGGUGGGUGGUGGCGGGUGAUGUCUCAAGCAAGAGAGAGAGAGAAGUGGCGAUAGAGAGAGGAAGACACGAGAGCCGAUGAAAGAAAGAAGAGCCGGUGAGGUGCCGGCGGUGGACGACGACGUUGGCAUACGACGGCGGUGAACCUCGGAGACGAACUUUUCGGUGAGGGCUUUCUUCCUUAAUUCGAUGAUUAUGAUGAUGAUGACAGAAUGGUAGGGUUGGCCGAUGGCGGCGUUCGCCGUCGGGUCACCGGCGUUGGUGGCGGUGAAGGUUUUCUUUUUUUUUACUUGGGCCUUUAGUAUCACAGCUUCGGUUCAAGCGGGUCUGAUUUGGUUCGAGUUUUAUUUCAGAUCCGGUUCAAGUCAGUUAUCGGUUAACAUUCGGGUUUCAGUUUCGGGUCAGAUACGGUUCGUCUCGAGAUGGUCAGACAUGGUCAAAGAAAAAUUUGGUUCAAGUCGGGUUUCGUUUCGAUUAACAACAAUCAUCUGGUAGUUGGUUCAGAUUACGGAUCAGAUCAGUUUUGGGUGGUUCGGGUUCGCGACACGGUCAAAGUCAGUCAACGAAAGUCAACUGUCGGGUCAACAGGUCAAACGCGGUCAACUAAGACCCGGUAAAGUUUUAAUGUCGCGAAACGUAGUUUAGCUCGAUAUAGAUUUCAGAUUUUUAGUA